rnacentral:tRNA from 1 species
UCCUCGUUAGUAUAGUGGUGAGUAUCCUCGCCUGUCACGCGGGAGCACUGGGUUCGAUUCCCCGAUGGGGAG